AUAGAACAUUUCCUAUUUUUGUCCGCAUUCCGGACACGGAUAGGACUGUUUUAUUAGAGGCCGGCAGUUCUGUUCCGCAAAAAGCAGCAUGCGCACGGCUGGUAUCCAUGUUUUGCGCGUCUGCAAUAUGCGGACUGCGAAACAUCCAAUGGCCGUGUGCAUGAGCUCUAAAGGAUAUUCACUUUUUUUUUUUUUUUUUUUAUCUCCAGCCUGAAGUGCUGCCCCACCUUUGGGUCAGUACAAUAUGGAGGGACACUGAGUCAGGAGUCCUCAGAGGAUUUGCAUUUUUCCGUUAGCAGGGAUUUUUAUUUUAUUUUUUAAUUUUUAUUAAAGGGGUAUUUUGGUUAUAACAAAAGGUGGGACCUACACUCGACAUUUGUGGCAUAUCUUAGAUAUAAGGGACAACCCUGCCAUCUGCGGAGCUCCCACAGAAAUGAAUGACGAGGCGGUGUGCGUUUCUAACCAGCUGCUCUGUUCAUUUCAGGGGGGAUCCACAGGAUACGGGGUUUCCAGUGAUCGUUAUACCCUAUCCUUGUUAUAACUGGAAUACCCCAUUAAAGAGGUUGUCCCAUAUAUCUAGGAUAUGCCUCAAAUGUCAGAUAGGAGAGGGUCCCAGAGGUGAGACUCACACCUAUCUCGAGAACAGAUCCCCCAAAGUGAAGGGAGAGGAGCCACACGUGCACAGCCGCCCUCCAUUCAUCAGUAUGGGAGUGCCG